rnacentral:rRNA from 1 species
GCGAACGCUGGCGGCGUGCCUAAUACAUGCAAGUCGAGCGAAGUUUUUCUGGUGCUUGCACUAGAAAAACUUAGCGGCGAAAGGGUGAGUAACACGUAAAGAACCUGCCUCAUAGACUGGGACAACUAUUGGAAACGAUAGCUAAUACCGGAUAACAGCAUUAACUGCAUGGUUGAUGUUUAAAAGUUGGUUUUGCUAACACUAUGAGAUGGCUUUGCGGUGCAUUAGCUAGUUGGUGGGGUAAAGGCCUACCAAGGCGACGAUGCAUAGCCGACCUGAGAGGGUGAUCGGCCACACUGGGACUGAGACACGGCCCAGACUCCUACGGGAGGCAGCAGUAGGGAAUCUUCCGCAAAGGGCGAAAGCCUGACGGAGCAACGCCGCGUGAGUGAAGAAGGAUUUCGGUUCGUAAAGCUCUGUUGUUAGGGAAGAAUGAUUGUGUAGUAACUAUACACAGUAGAGACGGUACCUAACCAGAAAGCCACGGCUAACUACGUG